rnacentral:rRNA from 1 species
AUUGAACGCUGGCGGCAGGCCUAACACAUGCAAGUCGUGGGGGUGAAUGUAGCUGGCUCCUGGAUUCAGCGGCGGACGGUUGGUUAAUGGCUAGGAAUCUGCCUGGUAGUGGGGGAUAACGUCCGGAAACGGGCGCUAAUACCGCGUACGGCCAGAGGGAGAAAGUGGGGGACCUUCGGACCUCACGCUAUCAGAUGAGCCUAGGUCGGAUUAGCUAGUUGGGGGGGUAAAGGCCUACCAAGGCGACGGUCCGGAACUGGUCUGAGAGGAGGAGCAGGCACACUGGAACUGAGACACGGUCCAGAAUCCUACGGGAGGACGCAGUGGGGAAUAUUGGACAAUGGGCGAAAGCCUGAUCCAGCCAUGCCGCGUGUGUGAAGCAGGUCUUCGGAUUGUAAAGCACUUUAAGUUGGGAGGAAGGGCAGUAAGUUAAUACCUUGCUGUAUUGACGUUACCAACAGAAUAAGCACCGGCUAACUUCGUG